rnacentral:antisense_RNA from 1 species
GUCAAUGGUGGCUCAGGGAGGGGAACCGAAAGGUUCGCCAGGUGGUAUGAGCUGGUAAGGCUAACCCUGUCUGGGCUACCACCCAA